rnacentral:rRNA from 1 species
CCUACGGGUGGCAGCAGUGAGGAAUAUUGGUCAAUGGCCGGAAGUCUGAACCAGCCAAGCCGCGUGAAGGACGAAGGUGCCAAGCAUUUUAAACUUCUUUUGUCAAGGGACAAAAUCAGGCUCGCGAGCCUGCCCGAGUGUACUUUAAGAACAAGCAUCGGCUAACUCCGUGCCAGCAGCCGCGGUAAUACGGAGGAUGCGAGCGUUAUCCGGUUUUAUUGGGUUUAAAGGGUGCGUAGUCGGACUUUUCAGUCAGCGGUAAAAGCCCGGGGCUCAACCCCGGCGAGCCGUUGAAACUGGCUGGCUUGAGAGGGCGAGAGGUAUGUGGAAGGCGAAGUGUAGCGGUGAAAUGCGUAGAUAUUGCGCAGAACUCCGAUGGCGAAGGCAGCACACCGGUGGGGAUCUGACGCUGAGGCACGAAAGCGUGGGUAUCGAACAGGAUUAGAUACCCGGGUAGUC